rnacentral:rRNA from 1 species
AUUGAACGCUGGCGGCAGGCCUAACACAUGCAAGUCGAGCGGAGCGGCGGACGGGUGAGUAAUGCCUAGGAAUCUGCCUGGUAGUGGGGGAUAACGUCCGGAAACGGGCGCUAAUACCGCAUACUAUCAGAUGAGCAUAGGUCGGAUUAGCUAGUUGGUGGGGUAAAGGCCUACCAAGGCGACGAUCCGUAACUGGUCUGAGAGGAUGAUCAGUCACACUGGAACUGAGACACGGCCCAGACUCAUACGGGAGGCAGCAGUGGGGAAUCUUCCGCAAUGGACGAAAGUCUGACGGAGCAACGCCGCGUGAGUGAUGACGGCCUUCGGGUUGUAAAGUUCUUUCGGUAGCGAGGCGUUAACUACAGAAGAAGCACCGGCUAACUCCGUGCCAGCAGCCGCGGUAAUAC